rnacentral:tRNA from 1 species
GCGCUAGUAGUGUAGCGGCAUCAUGCAAGAUUCCCAUUCUUGUGACCCGGGUUCGAUUCCCGGCUAGCGCA